rnacentral:rRNA from 1 species
UACGUAGGGGGCAAGCGUUAUCCGGAUUUACUGGGUGUAAAGGGAGCGUAGACGGCGAUGCAAGCCAGAUGUGAAAGCCCGGGGCUCAACCCCGGGACUGCAUUUGGAACUGUAUAGCUAGAGUGUCGGAGAGGCAGGCGGAAUUCCUAGUCUAGCGGUGAAAUGCGUAGAUAUUAGGAGGAACACCAGUGGCGAAGGCGGCCUGCUGGACGAUGACUGACGUUGAGGCUCGAAAGCGUGGGGAGCAAACAGG